GACGAACGCUGGCGGCGUGCUUAACACAUGCAAGUCGAACGGAAAGGCCCUGCUUUUGUGGUGUGCUCGAGUGGCGAACGGGUGAGUAACACGUGAGUAACCUGCCCUUGACUUUGGGAUAACUUCAGGAAACUGGGGCUAAUACCGGAUAGGAGCUCCUGCUGCAUGGUGGGGGUUGGAAAGUUUCGGCGGUUGGGGAUGGACUCGCGGGUUAUCAGCUUGUUGGUGGGGUAGUGGCUUACCAAGGCUUUGACGGGUAGCCGGCCUGAGAGGGUGACCGGCCACAUAGGGACGGAGAUACGGCCCAGACUCCUUCGGGAGGCAGGAGGGGGGAAUAUUGCACAAUGGGCGGAGGCCUGAUGCAGCAACGCCGCGUGCGGGAUGACGGCCUUCGGGUUGUAAACCGCUUUCGCCUGUGACGAAGCGUGAGGGACGGUAAUGGGUAAAGAAGCACCGGCUAACUACGG
rnacentral:rRNA from 1 species